rnacentral:rRNA from 1 species
AUUGAGCGCUGGCGGCAGGCUUAACACAUGCAGGUCGAGCGGAGCGAGGGUGCUUGCACCUUAGCUUAGCGGCGGACGGGUGAGUAAUGCUUAGGAAUCUGCCUAUUAGUGGGGGACAACAUUCCGAAAGGGAUGCUAAUACCGCAUACGCCCUACGGGGGAAAGCAGGGGAUCUUCGGACCUUGCGCUAAUAGAUGAGCCUAAGUCGGAUUAGCUAGUUGGUGGGGUAAAGGCCUACCAAGGCGACGAUCUGUAGCGGGUCUGAGAGGAUGAUCCGCCACACUGGGACUGAGACACGGUCCAGACUCCUACGGGAGGCAGCAGUGGGGAAUAUUGGACAAUGGGCGGAAGCCUGAUCCAGCCAUGCCGCGUGUGUGAAGAAGGCCUUUUGGUUGUAAAGCACUUUAAGCGAGGAGGAGGCUACUAGUAUUAAUACUACUGGAUAGUGGACGUUACUCGCAGAAUAAGCACCGGCUAACUCUGUGCCAGCAGCCGCCGUAA